UGCCUGUGUUAAAAUGCUCAGGUAUUUGCUAAACAUGCUUCUUACCAGAGGCAAUGCUACUUUUUUAAAGGACACAAUUAAUUAGGUCUCAGGAUAUUGAUAAUCAGGAAGAGUGUAGCAUUGAUGAUAUUUUCCUCAGACUUCCAGCACGCAUGCUAGCUACGUGCCCCUCCCUCACUGGCUUCAACUUGUGCCCAGAGGCAGUUUGACCCUCACAUUUUCCUGCCUUACUUUUGGCCUUGAGAAUCCAGGUGUCAGUAGGUGCCUUUGCCUCUCUUUGAUGGAGCUGUGUUUUGUCUCCUUUCCAGUUGGUGCCCUCCUUGACUCUGGUAGGUGUCCAAGCCCUGUUGUUCUCCCUGCACGGGGGGGCUAAGCAAUGCUUUGUAAAUUAUGCACCAGUCUCACAAUGUUUGGGGAGCCUGUGGACCCCUUUUGUCUACAUGGAGGUAAAUUAUUUAGCAAAGGCAAUUUAAAUGAUUCAGAGGGGAUGGCGUGAAGUCUGGCUGUGGAACAGCUUGUCUGGGAAAAUGUAACUGACCCUGGUGUGCGGAGGACUCAGCUCCAAAGCAGAGCUGAGCACAUUUUACCUGCUCCCUAGAUCCUGUAGGUUCCAUGCCCUGCCUGUCUCCAGACACUGUCCCACGUUAAUAAUCAUUAUAAUUUAAAAGUCUAUGAUCUCAUUUGGUGCUUGUUUCGCGUCUGCAGCAGGGAGGUUUAUAAUAGUGUGGUCUGGGGAAGCAAGCUGGGUCUGGACAGGUUUUGUUAUGAGUCCUGCUUUUCUAACCUGCGAGACCUCAGUUUCCUCUUCUGUAAAUUAGGGAUAAUAAAAGCAACUUUUAAUUGUUAACAUCUCCAUUUGACUAUCUAAUCUAAGGAAUCUGGCCAAGACAAGCUCCUUAAUAUUCUGCCCCAUGCUGUCCACAAACCUGCCCUAGGAAUAGUGUCUCCAUCUCAGUAAAUGAGAACUUUUCACUCAGUUACUCAGGACCCAGCCCUGCACAUCAUAUUUGAUUCACUUCUCUCCUGCAGCCUCCACAGUGAAUCUCUUCACUGGUCCUGUCUGCCCUACUCCCAAACACAUAGCCCGUGGGAUCCUUCUCACCAGGUCUUCUGCAGCUCUCCAGCUGAAGCCUCUGUCAGUUCAGCUGUGCUGUUGAAAAGCCCCCUUACUCAUUCUCCUGCGGCUGCCUUUACUUCCCCAACCCUGUCUCAUCCCCACCAAGCAAUCAAGACUUUCUUUAAAAAAUAAACAAUAAUAAAUAAAUUGGACGGUAUUCUUCCCUUCUUAACCCUUUGAUGGCUGCUACUUACUCUUAAAAUAGAAUCCAUGGCCUCUUUUAAAAAAAAUUACCUAUGGGCCUUACAUGACUGGGCUCCAGCACACCUCUCUCCACUUAACAUUAACCCCACUGGCCUUGGGAUUCUAGAACAUUCCAAACAUGUUCCCACAUGAGGGCCUUUGCUCUCGUUGGCCCCUGAGGCUGGACUGGUCCUCCCCUGGCUUGGCUAGUUCCAUUUCAAUGUCCAGGCAUCUGGGGAGAUGUUACAUCCUCACGGGACUUCCCUGACAACCUUGAAGAGUCACCUUCCUGUCACACUGUAGUGGUUUUAUUUCCUUCAUGCCACUUAUCCCUACAUUCAAUUCUGAUAUUGAGCUUCAUGGUUUGUGCACCAUCCCCUCCACUGGAAGACAGCUCCUUGCAGGAUGGGCUUUUUUCAGUGUUAUUUGCCAUGGUAGCCCCAGGUAGGUUCAUUAGAUAAAAUACAGGACAACCAGUUAAACUUGAAUUUCAGAUAAACAACAAUUAUCUUUUUAAUAAAAAAAUAUUGCACAGGGCAUACUUAUGCUUAAAAAAAAAAGAUUUGUUGUCCCUGUAUUUUCACUUACUAAAUAUGGCAACCCUAGUCCCUUCAGAACUGUCAUCUCUGUUGAGGCUUUAUAAAUACUUGUUGAAAGAAAGAAAGAAAUAGUGAGUGAGCAAUGAGAGGUGAUCAUCACAUAAAAUCUGCAGACUGAAUUGCCUUUAUCUUUUUGCCUUCAUAUUCCUAGUGUCUUGUCAAUGCUUGACAUAUGAUCUUUUUCCCCUUCAUAUUAUAUUGUUAGUUUCAUUUUGCAGUUGGAUAAAUAGGGUUAGAGAAUAGGAGGCUUUUCCAGAGUUAAGCAGCUAGAGAUAACAUCAUAAAUAUAGAAGAAAGUGGCUUCUGAAAGGUGUGUUAAAUGUGUAAAAGCUUACUUCCCUUCUCCCAUAAAAGAAGUUGGCGUAAAGGCAGUGUAGGCUUGACAUGGUGUUUCUGAGGCCAUGCUUCAAUCUUUCUCCUCCAGAAUCAUCAGACCAGUUUCUAACCUCAAGUUUACUGCAUGGUCCUAUGAUGUCUGCUGGAAAGCCUGUCAUCACAUUCACAUUCCAGGCAGACAGCAGGCGCAAGUGGAUGAGGACAAAGAUAAUUUAUUCCCUCCACUUUAAGACCUUCCUGAAAGUCAGUCACACAUGACUUUUCCCACUUCAUUGGCCAAAACUUUAUCUCUUGACCACUCCUGGCUAUAAAGCAGCUGGCAAUGCCAUCAUUUCAGGGGUUUAUAUGUGCUGUUCUAAAUACUGGGGUCUGUUCUUACGAGCAGAAAAGAAUGAGAGAAUGGAUAUUGGGAAGCAAGAGCACCCUCUGCUCCAGCUAGAGAGGGGCAGAAAGACCCUGGUGUAUCCUCAGACUGCUGUACCCUAUGCCUGCUCACAGGACAGACAAGAGCCUUUUAAGGGUGAAGACAGGACUAGACCCCAGCCUCCUGGUCACAUGACUCAGAGAUCUCCCAUAUCCUUUUACCUUCUGUUGCAUGGAGUGGAAUGGGUCGGAGUCUGAGAUGUGGAUCUUUGUGUUAGUCUGAGACUUUUUCUGUGUGGGAGAGAUUGUAUCCUACACACAGUCUAGAAGACAUUGGGGAGGCCCUGAAGCAAUUACUAUUGCUAGAAAUAAAGUGUAGAGACAGAAGUGGGGAUGGGAUGGUACUAGAGAGUUAGGCACAAGUCGAGUGAUGAGAGGUUGUGUCUGGUCUACACAGGAUCCUAAUAGAUCUUAACAGGCUGCAGCAAUGGUCUAAGCAUAAUGAGGCAAAACUGAACAGGAACAGAACAUGUUACACCCGAGUCCAAAAGAAAACUAACAAGAUGCACUGAUGUGACUUAGUAUCUUCAGGAUAAAAAUGACAGAAGCACUUCAGUAAUAUCAGCCAUAAUGUGUAAGGGAGUUAUUUUGAUCUCAGCCUGCAGGAGCAGAGAAUUUCAACGAGGUGAGAGGCAUGCUUUGCCAUGCACAGGCUAGACCACACUUGUCAUGCUGCCUGUAGUUCUGAAAAGGACAGACCAAAGUUUUAAAAGGAGAGAAGCCAGGAUGGGAUUGAAGAAUCCUCAGGUUGUAUAUUUAACAUUUUUAUCAGUCACUUGGGUCACGCCUGCUUAUCAAAUUUGUGGAUUACUCUAAUCUGACAGAGGUGGUAGAUACAGUGACAGGCAGAAUCAGUCAAAUAGAACAAUGAGCGAGCCAAUGCCAGGCUAUGAAAUUGAAAACAGAUCAAGGUAUCUCACCCCCAAAAAUGAUAAGUAUGUGAAGUAAUGCAUAUGUUAAUUAGCACUAUUUAGCCAUUUCAGAAAGCCUGCUUAUUUCAAACAACAUGCUGUACACAAUAAAUAUAUAUAAGAUCUGUGUCAAUGAAAAAAUUAAAAUUAAAAGUCAAAGAAAAAAAGAAAAAAGUUUGGAAGAGCAAUCCAUUGUUCAAGAAAGGGAUGAGAGAGACCUGGUACAAUGGCUGUUCUAACAAAUCGGCACUUUAGUGGGCAGCAGGGCUCAUCAAAGUACCAGUGUGUCUGUGUGUGUCCCAGGCUGGUGGAUGGUGGGCUUCCAAGGAGCCUCCAGGCAGCACUGAUAUUCAUGACUUCACCCAAGCCAGGGUUUUGACCUUGGCUUUGUGAGUUUAGAUUUUCAAAGUGUUUGAGUUUCCUGGACUUGGGGAGGCUGACUCUCACUAACAAUGCUUUUAGGAGACUGCAGAUGCCAAAAGUAUUGAUUUUCAGCAUGAAUUCUACUUGUUAGGUACCUUAAACCUGAUCAGCAUACAUAUGGUUCUUCUUCCAUGUAAGAAAACCACAUGAGGAGCCAAAUAAUACCUCUAAGGAGUUUUGAGGAGGAUGGAACUGAAAAGAGGGAUGUGAGUAGUGUGACUCGAAUGCUGUUAGAAGAGUCUGAUGUGUCCUUCUUCCUCAGGUGAAAGUUCUCAGACUGAAAACAUCUAGAUAACCUCUAGCUAUGCUAAGCCACAGGCACUUUUAUAGGCCUAGAACCCAUUUCGUGUCUUUAAGGUGACUUGACAGAGUGUGGUUUUGUCCUCUUAUUUUUUGGCAUAUUCUGCAACUCAGGAAACAGUCUUGUUUCACUUUCUCUGUAGCACUCGAGGUGCAUCAGUCUGCUCCUCCCUUUGCCUCAAGGUCCCACAGUGGCAAGGGGAGAGGAGACCAGUCUGGAGGGGUCUGCUUAUUAAGCCUUCAUUGCUGUCUACCCCAAGAAAACUCAGAGUCACUGUCUCCUAGGCACUUCUCAGGCAGAAAGAAAUCUUUCCUUACCCUCCAAAUCUGCUAUCCUUCAGGGAUGGAUUCUCGGGUACCUUCGACCAGCUCCCUGCUCUGUUCCAGCUUCCUGGGCAUAAAGGCAAAUAAUCCCAAUGUGUUUGGCUUUGACUUUUUCUCAUGGCCUCUUUUCCCAGUGGGUGGCCAUAUAUAUUCAUUCACAUGUCCAAGGGGAUUCCUCCUUCCAUCCCCCGUUUAUUGAUGUUCUUGUCAUAUCUCCCUUAGGAGCUUGUUGUGUCAGUCAAGGUCCCAGCAAGAAACAGAUGGCACACUUACACUUGGAUAAUGUGAAAUGAAUUUGAUAAAGGACUACUUACAAAGCUGGGAGCAGGGCUUAGGGAAACCAUGAAGAAUAGUCAAAUGCCAGAGGACUAUGAAAUCUAGGUGCUAUUGUAGGCCUGAAAGAGUGGAGAGAGGGGAAAGAGAGCCAGAAGACUGCGGGGGCUAUGCGGAAGAAACAUAGGAUUCCCGGCUUUCAACAGAACUGGCCCAUGGAAACCCCACGGCAAUAGUAAUAAAUGCCACACCCUCACUCACUUCUCUCCUUCCAAUCUCCUGCUGAUGCACAACACUGGCCAUGUGCAGUUGGUAGUCAGUGGUCAAGGGAGCCCAAGAGUGUGGUUCAGGUUCAGCUUCCCCAGGGAAUAGCAGGGUGGACAAAGAUAGAGAGUGGAUUUGGAUAGGCAAAUAGAAUAAUCCAGUAAAAACACUGAAGGCUAGACUUUGUUGUUAAUACCUGUAUUUUUUGGUUUCCCAUCCCACACAUAGUAGGUUUGCAGCAGUUGACUUGGCCAUGGAUUUCUUUGGGUAAGGAGAUGAUCUUUGAUCCCUGUAUUCCAGGGCCUAUCCCAGUACCCCCAAAAGAUGCUCCAUAAAUGUUUAUGAAAUGACUAGUGAAUGAAUGAAUGAAUGAAUGAAUGAAUAAAUGAGGUGAGCUCAGUGGGAAUUUUCCCUUAAUUUUGCUCACUGUUUCACUCCUUGGAAGUAGCCACUUCUCUGCUUCACUUGUAGGCCAGUUCCAGUUACUAAAUUUCUAAAUUAUCCUUCUGCCUAUGGGGCUGACUCUCCAAUGAGGUCUUGUAAAUCUUUGCUUCCAUCCUUGGAGUCCAGACAAGGAGCUCUUGCCUCAUGCACAGCCUCUGUUCUCUGGGAUGUCUCACCUUUUUAGCAAGGAAGCAUUCUGUGCCAGAUGCUUAACUUGUGUCCUCCUACCAGGGAGAUUCCAUGAGGAACCUUCUCUGUUCACUUUAGGCAGAUUAGAUUGGCUUCUCCUUGCUGUACUUCUAGCUAGAUGAACUGUUAAACAAAUAUCUAUUACUUAUCUGUCAUAUUCUAGGCACUGUGCUAGGACAUGAGAAUGUUCAAGUGGGUAAGAUACAGUCUGACAUAAGGGACAAAGUGCUGCAGUCCAGAGGGAGAGAAGACAAAUAAUAAAUAAUUAUUUUACAGGGUAAUACAUGCUAUGUUACUAUGUUAUUAUUCUAUAAUAAUUAUGGGAGCACAGUGGGUGAGGAGGGCACUGUGGGAGCCUGGGUGAGGAGCGCCAACCCACCCGGAGGCGCAAGGGAAGCUUUCUGGAGGAGUUAACACCUGAUCUUGUAAGAUGGGAAAGAGCAAGAUAUUAAAGAUAAAUAAUUCCAAGUCAAGUGGUGAGCAAGAUCAAAAUGACAGACACUUGACAUAGCAUGAUGUGUGCAAGGAAACAUGAACUAAUCUGUAUUAUUAGUGAUAACAGUUGAGGAAUGGGGGGUGAGAGGCAGAUGGAGGGGCAGGCAGGGGUUAGGGUGUGGAAGGCAUGGUAAGCUGAGCUAGGGACUUUGCAGGACAUUAACUAGAGUGAGGUGAAUAAGGCCUAUUUUAGGCACAAAAUGUAAAAGGGCUUCAAGGUCUCAGUCACUAGGAUAAGUAAUAUUAAAUGCAAUAUUUUAACUAAUCAAAAUUAAUGCAAAAACCCACAGUGAAAAAAAAAAUAAAAUUUUAAGAUAAAUAGUGUUGAGUGAAUUCUUAUAAUUUCAUGUUGCUUCAGUAUCCAUUUUGAAUAUAACUUUAACUUUCUCAUACCAGAAGCAGGCUUAGUCACCCUUGGCGCAGUAUCCAGUUUUACAACUCCUCCUAGUUCCUUAAGGUGGUCAGUUCAGCUCUCUGGCUUAUAUAACUCCUGGUAGUUACCUCUCCAUGAGACAGCCAGAUACAACUGACCUAAUUAGCCCCACUGACCUCCACACCCCGCAUGGACUGUGCAGGUGUGCCACAGUGGCCACCUCUUAGUCACAGUGUGACCCCCAUGAAACUAGUGCCUGCUUGUGCCACCAGUUAGACCUCCCCACAGGAAACCUGCUUGAGUAACUCCCAGGACCCAAUAAAGAAUUUGGCUUACAGGUCCCCUUCUCUCUCUCUUGCUCCCCACCUGCUGGCUGAAUGCACGUGUCCUCAGUGGCUUCCCCCUUUCCAGUGACCCUGGGAGGCAUACUGCCCCCUGCUCUCUGGAAUCUCUCAGCCACUUGGGUCUCCUUUGCCAAGGAGUGUCCUCCCUCUGGAACUCAAUACCAGCUCUUUCUUCUUCUGGAAUCUUCUCUCAGCUCUUUUAAGCCCUCCCCAGGUGCUUCAGCUGUGGACCUCCACCCUCACAGGACCUUGUCAAGAGGCUGGCCAGGUAUAAAUAACUUCUUUGAGAAGAAAGUACAGUUUCCUGACUCUUCCCUUCCAUUUUGUGUGAUGUUCCUGGGAGGACUAAUGAGGACUGAGACCCAGCCUGGAGUGACACAUUCCCUGACAUGAAGGGAGGUGACUUUGAAAGAUGCCUGGGGCAUGGUGUUCACAGCAGGGUUAGGAUAAGGUGGUAGUACUUAGAAUGUGGUCCUGGAAUCAGCAGCAUCGGCAUCACCUGAGAACUUGUUAGAAACUAAAUUCUCAGGCCCCAAACUAGACAAUCAGAGAAUCUGAGGGUGGGCUCCAGCAAUCUGGGUUUUCACAGGCCCUCUGGGUGAUUCUGAUGUUCAUUAUGUGGGGGACCACUCGCCUGAGACACUGUAUUUUGGUUUGGAUGUUUUGUUUUUUUCAUAAUUCUAUCAUAUGUAGCAUCUCACUGAAUUCUCACCAUGAUUUUGGAAAACUGGCAGGAGAAGGCAAAGCUGGUUGGGGUUAUGCCCAUUUUACAAAUGAGAAGGUAAAAAUCAUAGAGGUUACAUGACUUGCUCAGUAGGAGAUUGAUAAGGAGUGGUGAAAAAUAAGGUUGAGGGCAAAGUAGGGCCAGAUCAUAGAUGGGAUUCUUGACAGACAGAGUAAAAAACAAUAGAGAACCAUGAUAAGUUCUUGAGUUUGCAAACAGCAGAACAAAGUGGUGCUUUACAGAAAAUAAUUUGAAAGUGAUGUUUGGGACAGAUUAGAGUAGGAGAAGCUAGAAGCCCUGUUAUACCUGUUGGCAGUCCAAAUUACCAUGCUUUUAAAAUUUCAGUAGUGCAUUUUACUCCAGCAAUGAUCUGUAAAUGCAGACAGGCUAACAGAGAUGGGCCUUCCUUGUGCUCCUAAAUCACACCAUGUUACUUACCUCUCCGGAUGUCAGUUUACUUGGCUCUAAAUGGGAAUUAGCCUAUUCCAUAAAUUGCCCCUUUUUACAGGGUGUGACUAGUUUUUCUUUUUUUUGGAUCAAACCAUGCCAAACUUGGUGUAUAGUUGGUGUUUGGAAUCACUGAAUUUUCUUGAUUUAGAAUUGACGUGAUGAAAGCGAUAGUUUAAGAGAAAUUGUAGAGUGGUGGCAGAGAGAUAUUUUCAUUACUGUGAACAACAUAUUAUUAAAAUAAACAGGUUGAUGUUAAAGUUGACAUAUGUUUUAAAAAUUAAACUGCUGAAAGAUGCUUAAGAAAAACAAUUCUUUACUGUUACGGAGUACCUUAUCAUUUGUAUUAGUUUAUGUGGGCUUAACUCCUACAAGAAAGAAGCUAAAAAUGUGGUAGUUCAAAACAAUGGAGGCUUGUUUCCUUCUCACCUAAGAAUCUAGCAGGGACGUUGCAGGUCAGCAAAGGGUUGGAGGUUGGCAAUGAGGAGCAAAUUUCUGUUCCGCACCGUCUUUCAGGGACUGAGGUUGACAGUGGCUCUAUUAUCAUUAGUGUAUGGCUUCCAAAGCUUGCUCACUUAUUAUUAUUGGCUUCCGGUCAUGGAAAGGAGAAGACUAUGCAAGAGUCUGGGCAUUUUUUAGGUUAGGUCUUCAUGUGACACUCAACAUUUCCACUCAUGAUCCAUCAGCUCAAACACACCAAAAUUUGGCCACACCAAAUUGUAGAGGAAGCUGAAACAUUCAGAUUAUCUCUGUACCCAGGAAGAAAGGAAGAAUAGAUUUCAGUGGACAAUUGAAAUUAUUUCCAGAAAGCCUCUAUUUUACUGAUGAAGAUAAUGAAACUCUGGUUUGGUGAAUUCUUUUUGAAAACAUUGGCUACCAAUGCAUGGACCUGGGAAAAAAUCAAGGUCAUUUCAUUACCUCCCUAUAUUUCAGCCAAAAUGAAAUUACGUAUAAAACCAAGGAUUUAGAGAAUAUCUACAACAUGCCUAGGUCUGUCUGUGUCUGUGUUACAUGUUUGGAAUUCAGUGGUGGUCAUAGUUCUACUGGCUUUGUGAUCAAAGAAUAAUUUCUGCAUAUGUUGAAGGAUUCUUUUACCUUUGAUCUUUAAGCACUCUUUGAAACCCUUAAUCAUAUACCCUAUUUCCAGGGUGGAUUAAAUUUUUUAGAUAACACACAUCAUGUAUUAAAAAGCCCUACAUGUUCAUAAGGCUAUAAAUUUCUCAAGAAGGGAUGGAGUGAAAUUUCUUGCUGUUUUAUAUAAUUUAUGUAACAUCUAGCGUGGAGUUUUAAAAUCAGACCAUGAGGAGUUUUACUCUCAGUUACUCAUCUUUAGCCAGUUCAUUUAACAAUGUUAAAAGAAGUCAUAUUGUUUCCUUCUUUUUAAAAAAAUUCUAUAUGCUGUAUCUCCUAUCUAUCUAUCUAUCUACUAUCUAUCUAUCUAUCUAUCUAUCUAUCUAUCAAUUCUGUCUGUCUUAGAAGACAGUUGGGGUAAGUAAUAUGAGAUAAUAAAUGUAAAAGGGAUAAGAAAUUACGAAAUUUGAUGCAGAGACAUAGAAUCAUUAUUACGAUAAUCCAUCAGUACUCUGAAUUUUACCAGAGUACUGAAUACACAUUCACUGUCAUGGAACAUUUACAAUGUUGUAUGUGAGGUAGGUGCUAUAGACUGCAUGUGUCCCUUUGAAAUCCUAAUCCCUAAAUGGUGGCAUUUAGAGGUGAUUAGUUGAUAAAGACAGAGCCCCCCUGAAUGGAAUUAGCGUUUAUAUAAAGAGAGCUCCCCCAUACCCUCAGCCAUGUGAGGAUACAGCAAAAAGAUGACCAUCUACGAAUCAAAAAGAUGACCAUCUACCAAUCAGGAAGUAUGAGCCUUCACCCAACACCAAAUCUGCCAGUGCCUUGAUCUUGCCUGUUCCACCUUCCAAAGUGGGGAGAAAUGAAUUCCUGUUUUUUGUUUUUGUUUUUGUUUAUUUUAUUUUAUUUUUUUUUUUGAGAUGGAGUCUCGCUUUGUCACCCAGGCUGGAGUGCAGUGGUGCGACCUCGGCUCACUGCAAGCUCCGCCUCCCAAGUUCACGCCAUUCUCCUGCCUCAGCCUCCCGGGUAGCUGGGACUACAGGCACCCGCCACCACAACCGGCUAAUUUUUUUGUAUUUUUAGUAGAGACGGGGUUUCACCAUGUUAGCCAGAAUGGUCUCAAUCUCCUGACCUUGUGAUCUGCCCGCCUAGGCCUCCCAAAGUGCUGGGAUUACAGGCGUAAGCCACUGCACCUGGCCAAAUUUCUGCCCAGUCUAUAUUAGUUUGUUAUAGCAGGCCAAACUAACUAACACAGAAAUUGAUAUGGGGAGUAGGGUGUUGCUAUAACAAGGACCUAGAAAUGUGGAAGCCAUUUUGGAGUUUUGAAGUGCAUGUGAAACAAAGCCUACAUUGCUGUGAACAGACUGUUAAGGGUAAUUCUGGGAACGGCCAAGAAGGAGAGGAGGAGAGCUGUAGAGAAAGCCUCAAUAUUCUUAAAUGUAGAGUAUCUAAGUGGCAAUGAACAGAAUGUUGGUGGGAAUAUGGACUGUAAAGGUCAUUCUAUCGAGAUCACAGAUGGAAAUGAGGAAUAUGCUAUUGGAUAGUGAAACAAAGACCAUUCUUCUAUAAAGGGGCAAAAAAACUUGGCUGAAUUGUGUUUAUGCCCUGGUGUUUUGUAGAAGUUAGAACUUGUGAAAUGGGAUAUUUAGCCCAGGAAUUAUCUAGGCAAAGUUUGGGAGGAGCGACCUGACUCCUCUUGACUGCUUAUAGUAAAAUGUGAGAAGAGAGAAAUAAUUUAAAGAUGAAAUUGCUAAUCAAAAGGAAAGCAGAAUAUAAAGAUUUGGAACAUUCUCAGCCUAUUCUUAUUGAAAAGAAUGAUAAAACCUGUUCAGGGAAGGAACAUAAAGGGUGUGCCCAAUCAACUUGAUAAGGAGAUUAGUUUAGAUCUGCCAUCUGAACCGAAGUUCAGGGCUAUUCUCCAAGACAAUGGGAGAAUGACCGUGAAGGCAAUUUAGAAAUCAUCAGGGCUGCCACUACCAUCGCAGCCACAGAGUGGAAGAGCCCUAGGAGCAGGAUGGUUUUGAAAGAAGGACCACUGCUUCCUCUGGUGCUGUGCUUCUUUGCCACCCCAGGCAGGGCCACCCCUGCCACUCUUUGGCAGGCUCUAGUGCAACACAGGCAACACACAGAAUACUGAGGAAAGAACAUUGACUCAGGAGGCCAAAUACUUGGAUUUGAGGCCUACUUCGGAUAAAUAUUAACUAUUUGAUAUAGGAAAAAUGACUUUUACCCUCUAUUUCCUGGGAGAUAGAAUAAUAGCUUCUCUCCCUUAUAAUCUCACCGGGUUAUUAUAGGAUCAUAACAUCUAUAUAUCAAAAAUAUCUCAGAGUUUUUUUUUUAUGGGUUUGAUGAGUCAAUCACUCUUGGUUCUGUCCCUCUAAAGCUGCAAGAGCCAUGCCAAUGGAGCUUUAUGUUACAGUUUGCUUAACAUUUAAUUGAGGUCUCAGGUGAGGCUGGGGUGCCUAAGGUUCAAGCUUUUAAAAAUGGAUUAUUAUGCUAUGGACUAUUUUCCCUCUCUCUCUUUUUUUAAAUUUUACUUUAAGUUCUGGGAUACAUGUGCAGAAUGUGCAGGUUUGUUACAUAGUUAUACAUGUGCCAUGUGGUUUGCUGCACCUAUUUACCCAACCUUUAAGUUCCCUCCUCUCAUCCUCCAACCCCCAACAGGCUGUGGUGUGUGAUGCUCCCCUUCCUGUGUCCAUGUGCUCUCAUUGUUCACCUCCCACUUAUGAGUGACAACAUGCGGUGUUUGGUUUUCUGUUCCUGUGUUAGUUUGCUGAGGAUGAAGGCUUCCAGCUUCAUCCAUGUCCCUGCAAAGGACAUAAUUGCAUUUCUUUUUCUGGCUGCAUAGUGUUCUGCUUUGGACUAUUAAUGUUGGAGGCUUUUAAUGUUUAAAGUAGUACAAGCUGCCAUCAAACCUAGAACUCCACUAGAUGGUAUCUUUGAAAGAUUGUCUUCUAGCUUCAAUUGUAAUAAUUCCAGCAAUGAGAACUAACUGACAAAAAGGCACAUUUGAUCUGAAUACUUGUUUUAACUGUAUUUACUGAGGCAGGCAUGAUGCUAGUGAGCUAACACAGAAGACUGGAUUGUCAAAUCAGACUUACACAACUCGGAGAUCUUACCUGGUGUCAAUGUUUACUAAUAGUUUCAUGGACACAUACCACCAAGUGGCACAGGUAAAGCUGACAGCAGUCCAGAGCAUUUGGUGGGACUCCACAGGUCUUUCCUUCCAGAAUCAGAUAUAGAAUCUCUGGCCCAGCGUAAUGGAGAAGGUCUCUAAGUGAGGUCUGUGAGUUCCUGCCCACAGUGGAUUGUCUAGAUUAAGAAACAUCUCCAUUUUAUACCCCAGAGUGUGGUAUAAUCAAUGUGACAUGCUCUGGGAAACUAUACCACAUAAAUCUUUAGAUUCUAGGUCUAUCUACCACAAGUGAUUCUAAACCAGGAACAUCCUGCUAAAAAGAUUGCAUAAAUAAUUACCCACUUCUAGGAAACAUCAUGAUUUCAUUUGCCGGGAGUUCCACUUAUCAGCAUGUUUACAGGAGGUUAGAUUGGGUUAGCUUCCUUUUUUCUUUCCCUAGACUAUUCUCCUGAUAACUGGGAGAGAAAUGGAUUAGUGGCCAGUUAUUUGAAUUUCUUCCUCCCUGGCUAAGUAGGGGAAAUACAAUGGUGAACACAACAUACCAGGUCUCUGCCUUUGACUAAUUCACUGAUUGGGAGAGAAGAAGCAAUCAGAUCGGUUUAAUAGAACCAGCUAGUCUACUGAGUACUGAUCAAGAACACUUCUCAUCUAUGGUUGAAAGUUACACUUGUGAAAAACAACUCAAUUUUAAACCAACAAUUUUGUUUUGGAGUGUCCAUCCUUGUGAGUUUUGAUUUGGGAUUCAUAUUUGAAGCUGUCAUUGUUUUUCUCUAGUCACAAUAUUUAAAUCUAUAUGACACACCUGUCACAAUUUACAGUUUUAUGUGCUUUUCCUUGCACCUCAGCUUCAGAUGCUCUGGACGAUGACUGUUUGUUUGUAAGUGUCAACAUGCACACCUAAGUAAAUGUUAUGUUUACAGAAUAGUCUAUUUUUGAAUAUAGACUAUUCCAUAAGGAAGCAACUUAGAUGAAAAUCCAUUUAGCUCUUUUCAACCAUCACAGUAAUAGAUACACUCUCAGAAAUUUAUUUUAGUUACAUGCAUACAGAAGACCAAUGAUGGAGAUCUAUAUAGCAUGUUAUGGGAACAGAUAAGAGGGGCAAGUUCUCUCAGUUACAUGGGCAGAGUCUUAAGGCAUAAGAGGAAUAUAAACAAAUCAAGAAGGGACAGGACAUUUCAAGCAGAAGCAAGGCACUGAGAGAACAAACAGCUUGGUAUGUACUAAAGUACAAGAAGUUUGAUCUUUGUUGAACAUUAAAUGCCACGCAGAAGCGGAAGAUAUCGGAGCUGGUGCAGCAAGCAGGAACCAGAUGGGUCAUCAGAAAUCUCUAGGAGCCAUUAAAGAGCUCAGAUUUUCUCUUGUUGACAUGGUGAAGUAGGAAUGCAAUAUAGUGGUUCAAAUGACAGCUGUGACUGUUGGAAAUGCAUUUUUCUUUUCCUCCUAUUAAGAUUAAAUCCACAACCCUGUUAUUAUUUCUGUCUGUUGUUUUUAGCCCUGGUUUUAAAACUAGUGAGGAGACAUCUAAUUUCUCCUGACAGUCCUCAGAUAUUUGAAGAUACAGCCUAUGUUCCCUGAGCUUCUCCAAGGGUAGUAUCUUCAUGGUUAUAUGGCCUCCAGACAUCUUAUCAUCCUGUUCUUCCCUUGAUAUGAGCACCUCCCAAGUGCCAGGGUUAAGGGAUUGGCAGAGGUAUACUAUUUUUAGGAUUGAGUGUGGGGAAGCAAUUCAGCCUCAGAUGCCAAGAAAUUGGAUGUUUCGCUCAUCUCUGUGGAAAUUCCCAUUUUCCAUUUGAAAUUCAGUUUUUUAUUCCUUUCGUAUCUGGGUAUGAUUUUCUUAAGGCUUCACUGAUUCCAAGGAAAUGUUCAAAAUCCUCCAUAAAGUUUCUAUAUAUUUUCUGGAAUUUACUUCUUAUGAAGCUCCUCUGUCUCAUAUUUCUGCAGUUAUAUGUCUUGUCUUUUAAUGGCUAUGUCAACUUAGUGCAUAGAACAGGAUGUGGUAGGUGCCCAAUAAAUAUUUUUUGAAUGAAUAAAUAGACUCAAAUUUAUUCAUUGAAAUGAAUAGAUUCAGGUACAAUUCAGCAUUUUCAUUGGCUUCUUUCUAGCUUUAAGCAUUUUUUAAUUUAAGAGGAAUUUAUUGAAGAUCGAUGGUCUCAACUGAGUAAGGCUGCAAUUUUCUACUUUGUUCCUUUUCUCUAUCCCUGUUCUCAAAUUCUUUCUCCAUUGUUCCCUGAAAGCUGCAAAUUCUUUUUUCUCCAUAAUGGGUAAUAAUUCAGGUCUCCCUAGCUCCUAUGGUUGUAACUAUACAUCUGUUAAAAAUGGUGCACUGAUGAACGCCUAACAACUUGCUUUCCAAAAAUUAUCGCCAUGGAUGAUUUCAAACUACUAAUGCAAAGUCAAUGAAUAUUGCAUCAGGAAGAGAUUGAGCUCUUGAGAGCUAUGAUGAGCUGGUUCCAGUCCUCCACUGAAGGGCUCAAAAACCAAAGGAUCUGUCCUCCUCAGAGGGUGGUUGAGAUCACAUACAGCUACUCUUUUUUCUGUUGUUACAUUAAAAAAAAAAAAAAAGCUAUUCAGCAUAAACUAGACUUUCUAAACUUGUAAACCAAUGGUAAUAAACUGGGAGGAGUGCUGCCCCCAAGAGGGGAUUUGAAAAUUCUCAGGGCUAUCUGGGGCUGUAGCAGUAACUGGGAUACUACAGAUAUUUAGUGGGCAAAGGUCAGGAAUGUUGGGUAUUCUCCCACAUGAAAGACAGUCCUGCACAACAAAGAAUUGUACUGACCAAAAAGUCUAUAGUGAAAUCCUUGGAAAAUUCUGCUCUGCACCAUGCUUCCCACAGGUUGGCUUUCUGCCAGAUCAUAGUCCUUUAUAUUCUGCUAAACUUUUGUGAGGGAAAUAAUCACACCCUGCUGCUUACAGGAAAAGGAAGUCCUAUGCUUAGUGACAGAUGCUUAUUUUAUUUCUAAGUGAUUGAAAUCAAACGCAUUGGAAUGAAACUUUUUUCCCUAUUAACCUUUAGCAGCAUUUAUAAUGACCAUGUUAAAUCAAGUCUCAUUACAAUGUAAUGGGGCCUGACUGAAAUACUGCAGGUAUGAUGCUGAGUAAUUUCAUAAAUUAUUAAGUGGUAAUUGAAAAUAAUAUGGCAGAAUACAUUUUACUCCUGGGGGGGAUAAUACAGAAGACUUUGGAAGGAAAUAAAGUUGGUUAAAAUAUAGCAUAUAGGAAAGAGUUGGAAGCUGGGUGGAGAGGAAGGGUAAGAGAAGUCCCGGACAUAUCAUUUAAUUUUUGGCUUUGGGUUAAAAUAUGUAUUUUGGAUACUGGGGUUUCACUGACUGCUUAAGUGGUUAAGGCCCCUGCUUGAGACGUUGCAGACACUUCAACUCCUCUCUUACUUCCUGUGCCCAGGCAGUCAUCAGAGCAAAAGGAUCAAACUCAAAUUAUUUUUUAUACCAAUCAUUUCUCCAUGCCAUGUCUUUAUUUCAGUUACGAUUCACUUCAAGUCCUCACCUCGCAAAAGCUUUUCAGAAGCUUUAUUCUAACAAAAAUCCCCAACAGUGAAGCAGUUAAUGCUUGUUGUGAAAAACUAAAAUAAUAAAGAAUAUAGAAUUACAGCAGGGAAAGUCUCAUAUUGUCACACACAGCCUUUACUAGAGGCAAUAUAUUCCUCCAGAUCCACACAUAUAGCACUUUAAAAGCUUAGUUUUCUAACAAACACUCAUACUAUAUGGACUGUUCUACAACUUGCUCUUUUUAUUCAAUAUUAUAGCUUAGACAUCGUUUUAUGUCUACACAUCUAGAUCUAAACUUUAAAAUAUUUUUAAAAUUAUAAGCAUACUGCAAAGCAUACAUAAUUUUUGUGAUUUCUAUUUUUAAUCACAAGUGAAUAUACCUGUGUAACCUCUACUUACCACUGUCCUUGAAUUCUCCCUCACAUCCCUCCCAGUCACUAACCCAUCCUUCCUGAAUGUAACCACUAUUCUAAAUUAUCUCGCCACAGAGUAGUUCUGCCGUUUCUUGAGAUUAAUAUAAGUGAAAUCAUUCAAUAUCAACUCUUUUGUGUCUGUGAAAUUUUUCCACAUUAUAGCAUGGAAUAGUGGUUCAUUUUUAUUGCUAUAUAGUAUUCUAUUGUGUGAAUGUACCAUAAUCUAUUCAUUUUCCUUUAGUUGACUUUUAGAUUGUAGUUUUGAGUUGCUCUGAAUAAUGACUGUUUACUUAUGUGUCUUUUGAUGAAUACACACACACACACACACACACAAAUUUUUCUUGGAUACAUACCUAGGAGUGGAAUUGCUCUGAUGUAAAUAAUGUGCAUAUUCAGCAUUAGCUGCUGCCGCCAAGAGCUUUGCCAAAGCAACUAUAAAUAAUUCAGGUGUUCACAGGCUAUGUGUGAGGAUUCCAGUUGCUCUAUAUCUUUGCCAAUACUUGGUAUAGUAGGUUUUAUUUUUAUUAUUUAUUUAUUUAUUUCAACAGUUUUUGUGGAAGAGUUGUGUAUUAGUCUGUUUUCAUGCUGCUGAUAAAGACAUGCCUGAGACUGGGUAAUUUAUACAGGAAAAAGGGUUUAAUGGAUUUACAGUUUUAUGUGGCUGAGGAGGCCUCACAAUCAUGGCAGAAGGUAAGGAGGAGCAAGUCACAUCUUACGUGGAUGGCAGCAGGCAAAAAGAGAGAGCUUGUGCAGGGAAACUCCCCCUCACAGAACCAUCAGAUCUCUUGAGAGUCCUUCACUAUCAUGAGAACAGUGCAGGAAAGACUCGCCCCCAUGAUUCAAUCACGUUGCACUGGGUUUCUCCCACGACACAUGGGAAUUAUAGGAGCUACAAGUCAAGAUGAGAUUUGGGUGGGGACACAACCAAACCAUAUCAAGGUGGUUUUUGGUUUUUGGUUUGGAUCUUCAUUUUGAAAGAUAUUUUUUUAGUUACUAGCAAAAGCAUUUUAGACUGAUAAGUUA